rnacentral:rRNA from 1 species
ACACGACUACAUUAGAUAACCCCGGUAGUCCCAGCCCUAAACGAUGCGCGUUAGGUGUAUCGGUGACCACGAGUCACCGAGGUGCCGAAGGGAAACCGUGAAACGUGCCGCCUGGGAAGUACGGUCGCAAGGCUGAAACUUAAAGGAAUUGGCGGGGAGCACCACAAGAGGUGGAGGCUGCGGUUCAAUUGGACUCAACGCCGGAAAACUCAUCGGGAGCGACAGCAGUAUGAUUGCCAGGUUGAUGACCUUGCUUGACAAGCUG